UCUGCAAUGGUCCAAUGGUUAGGAUUCUUCGCUUUCACCGAAGCGGUCGGGGUUCGAUUCCCCGUUGCGGAA
rnacentral:tRNA from 2 species